rnacentral:rRNA from 1 species
CCUACGGGCGGUAGCAGUGAGGAAUAUUGGUCAAUGGACGAGAGUCUGAACCAGCCAAGUAGCGUGAAGGAUGACUGCCCUAUGGGUUGUAAACUUCUUUUAUAUGGGAAUAAAAUGUUCCACGUGUGGGAUUUUGUAUGUACCAUAUGAAUAAGGAUCGGCUAACUCCGUGCCAGCAGCCGCGGUAAUACGGAGGAUCCGAGCGUUAUCCGGAUUGAUUGGGUUUAAAGGGAGCGUAGGUGGAUUGUUAAGUAAGUUGUGAAAGUUUGCGGCUCAACCGUAAAAUUGCAGUUGAAACUGGCAGUCUUGAGUACAGUAGAGGUAGGCGGAAUUCGUGGUGUAGCGGUGAAAUGCUUAGAUAUCACGAAGAACUCCGAUUGCGAAGGCAGCUCACUGGACUGCAACUGACACUGAGGCUCGAAAGUGUGGGUAUCAAACAGGAUUAGAUACCCUGGUAGUC